rfam:Ovis aries breed Texel chromosome 13, whole genome shotgun sequence.
UCCCUGGUGGUCCAGUGGUUAAGACUUUGCCUUCCAAUGCAGGGGGUGCAGGUUCGAACCCUCCUCAGGGAA